rnacentral:lncRNA from 1 species
AUGCCAACGUGCAAGAUCACUGUAUCUCAGCUCCACAGCACAUGGGCAUCCCAGCCACUCCAAUACAGCCUACAUCUCAUUUUCUUUGCCAUGGUAUUGCCUGGAACAUUCCCAGGACCACAGCUUCGUCUCUGUGCCAGUUUCUGGGAAUUUAAUGCCUGUGGAUUUCUAGACAGGAUACAAGUGGGAUCACACAGCUUCAGUGGACUUGGAGAUCUAUGAACAGGUAAAUAAUGACAGAACAUUUCCUUGCUUUACUGCCUCUCUGUGUUAUGCAAAAAGAGUUCCACACAGCAGUUGCAACAUUAAGUCAGCUCACACUCAGAAAGCACAGCUUUGUGGUUAGAUGGCACAAACAAAAUGCUUCACUGCUCUCUUUAUUCAAAUAGAGCAUCCACAAAAAGUACGCAUUUUUCAGAAGUUUGUUCAAAUAUUGAGUUUUGCACUUCGGGAAAGAUUGAGACGGUCAUAGAAUUACUGAAUCAAAGAACAUCCUGAGUUGGAAGAGACCUGUAAGCAUCAUCAAGUCCAACUCCAAGUCCAAUACACAGAACCACUCAAAAAUCAAGUCUUCUGAAACCUUUUAUGCUUGAUAUUCGUACUGACUCCUUUCCUUUUUUCAGAUUGUGUCCUUCCCAGAUCCACACUGUACAAUGUUAUAAUCUCCUUGCUCUUGAUUUUUACACAAUUCCCAUUCUUCACGGCAACAAUCCUGUAGCUGAUGUGAGGAACCAGAAAAGAACACAGGGAAUUCCGCUCUAGGAAACACAUUUCAGAGUGCAUUUUCUGAAAGUCCACCGUGGUGUAGGUUCCUGAAAUAACAUUAAGUAUGUUGGGUAUGUGUGAUCCAACCAGCUAGAAAGUGUUGGAGAAACUGCAGGUUUUGCCUCUUUGACUUUGACUGAAAUCUGGCAGCUAUCCUAGAACAGGCUUACUAAAUCAAGAACAUGAGAGAGGAGAUUACUGGUGGUUUCUAAGACUGACAGUAGGGAACUUGACAAUCAAAUUAAUUUAAUCACAAUCUUCAUAGCAAGGAGAAUGGUCUGAGAGAUGAUGUUCCGUUUCAUAUUAAACAAGUUAAAAUACUUCUGGCAGCUUCCACAAGACCAAUACAAAUUCAGCACAGCAUUCACCAAACAAACAGAAUAUAAAAACAUUUUAUAUGGAUGCAUGAGUAAAAAAUUUAAAGAUCUUGCAAUAAACAUGAAUAGGCCCAGAAGAACA